GAUGAACGCUGGCGGCGUGCCUAAUACAUGCAAGUAGAACGCUGAAGGAAGGAGCUUGCUCUUUCCGGAUGAGUUGCGAACGGGUGAGUAACGCGUAGGUAACCUGCCUGGUAGCGGGGGAUAACUAUUGGAAACGAUAGCUAAUACCGCAUAACAGUAGAUAUUGCAUGAUAUCUGCUUGAAAGGGGCAAUUGCUCCACUACCAGAUGGACCUGCGUUGUAUUAGCUAGUUGGUGAGGUAACGGCUCACCAAGGCGACGAUACAUAGCCGACCUGAGAGGGUGGGCGGCCACAAGUAGAGUGAGACACGGACCAGACUGAUACGGGAGGCAGCAGGAGGGAAUCUUGGGCGAUGGACGGAAGUCUGAACGGGCAAAGCAGAGGGAGUGAAGAAGGUUUUGGGAGCGUAAAGCUCUGUUGUAAGAGAAGAACGAGUGGGAGAGUGGAAAGUGCACCCUGUGACGGAAUCUUACAAGAAAGGGACGGAUACCUGAGU
rnacentral:rRNA from 1 species